rnacentral:misc_RNA from 1 species
UCACCGUCGAUACGAAGCACCUCCUCAUUCGCUCUUACGCCACCAGCAGGCCAUCUAAGCGGGUAAAAGGAUAGAUGCAACCAAUGCCAGCGGCGCAACGUAGAAUAUGUAGAUAGAUCUUGGUGGAUG